rnacentral:lncRNA from 1 species
GGUGAUCUCGAGAGACGAGCUGUUGCUGCUGCUGGCUGCGACGAACAAGGCAGGUUCGUGAGGGUUUGUUCGAGUUGAUUUCGGUGCUAUCCUACCUGAGCUUUUUAUAAUCAAUUUUUUAGUUUUGUUUAAGUUAGUUUUCCUUUUCUUGACCUUGUAAGACCUUUUUCUUGACCUUGUAAGACCCCAUACAUAGUUAAAUCAGUUUAGGUGCAUGACAGCUACCGGCUCUAUAUCUGAAUGUCGAGAUAUAGAGUACGAGAGCUGCAUUUUCCUGUAUCCGUCUAACGCAUCUUCUCCUUCCUUGUCUAUCCCUCCUGAGCUUGUUUGACCCUUUUAGUAACUAGGACUCCCCAAAAUCAAAUAAAUGAUGUAAUAUUUUGUACUGUGUAAUAUUUGAUGAAGUCAUGGAGCAGAAGCUGAAGCAAAGCAGCAGGUUUUAGCAAGCUGUUGUUGUUUUGUUUGACUUUGUGUUUCCAAUUAUUCAAGGAAAUAAAUUAUCUGCAAAAACCAGACACAAACAACAUUAGCAGAAUUAAAUUAUAUGAUGGGAAAAAAAGCAGCAGAUUGGUUUGUUAGUUGGUUGGUUGGGAGGAGAAAAGUUAAAAGAAGAAAGAUAGGAGAAUAAAUGUUAUUCUCUUCAGUUCUGUGGCCUGGCUGCUGCUGCUGCUGCUGCUGCUGCUGCCUCUACUGGUCCUCCUAUGGCUUGUCUGUGUGCGACAGAGAGUAAGUAAUGAUCACUUGAAGAGUUUUGUAUGCAGUUAUUUGCUUUCUCUCUGUUAUUUGUACUGGUAUCCUUUGUUUUUCUUCUAUUUUGUACCGGUACUGAAUCAACGAUAGAACCAGUAUAAGAGUUAACUAAUUCUUGAAAGGUGGUUUAGAUUAGUCUACCCAUAUAAUUCCUCUAUUUUUCUGAACCCAUCUCUACAUAACUGGAUUUCGGGUGAUGCUCCCGUGGUCAGAUAUUUGGGUCCAAAACCGUGAUAUUGUAUAUAAAAUUUAGGUAUUUUCCAGUAUCAAAUAUGAUAGUUUCCAUUCUUGAUCAGGGCGUAUUCCAGUUUGUAAAACAUUAAUCAAAACUCAUAAUCAUCAUUGACUUUCAUUUGGGAACUUGAAAUUCUGAUCAGGGUAUCACCGACUAUUCUGAAUCCGCCACUGCUAACAGAGGCACAUGUGCUUGAAGGGAUCAAAGCUUUUGAACUAUAUAAGAACUAAGUUUUGUAAAACAGUGAAGUAGUCCAAAAAGGUGGGUGUGUUUGAAAAUUGAAAUGAAAUCAUAUAUCUCUGAGUCAGUGAUGGAAAUGCAUAUUAAUGUGGGGAAGAAGGGACAGAGUUGAAAACAAAAAAAAAAGGCAGGGAGAGUGAAGGAAGAGGUGUUUGUUUGUUGAGAGCAGAGCCUCAUAAAUAAAGAUGAUGAUGCAUGAUCAUGAUGAUGAGCUCAGAAAAGAGAGAUGACUUUGCAUUAUUCUGGGCACUACUCCAUGCACAGUGGUCCUGAUUUGUACUCUGCCACUCUCCAUUUUCUUUCUUUUAUGUUUUUUAAAAACUGUCAUUAAGAGUAGAGGUGUUCAUCACAGAGGAGGGGUCGAUCUGAAAAGGACGAAAGAUCCCUCCCCAGCUGCAAUUCAAAGUAGUUGCAUAUCCAGUCCAGCUAAUGAGCCAAAAGGAACACAAAAUGCUGAUAAGGUUUGGUUUCUAGGGGUGGCCAUGAGAUUGGAUCGUUUUCAACGGCUACCCAUUACUUAUUUUCAUUAUUAACUUAUAUAUUUG